rnacentral:rRNA from 1 species
UAGGGAAUCUUCCACAAUGGACGCAAGUCUGAUGGAGCAACGCCGCGUGAGUGAAGAAGGUUUUCGGAUCGUAAAGCUCUGUUGUUGGUGAAGAAGGAUAGAGGCAGUAACUGGUCUUUAUUUGACGGUAAUCAACCAGAAAGUCACGGCUAACUACGUGCCAGCAGCCGCGGUAAUACGUAGGUGGCAAGCGUUGUCCGGAUUUAUUGGGCGUAAAGCGAGCGCAGGCGGAAUGAUAAGUCUGAUGUGAAAGCCCACGGCUCAACCGUGGAACUGCAUCGGAAACUGUCAUUCUUGAGUGCAGAAGAGGAGAGUGGAAUUCCAUGUGUUGCGGUGGAAUGCGUAGAUAUAUGGAAGAACACCAGUGGCGAAGGCGGCUCUCUGGUCUGCAACUGACGCUGAGGCUCGAAAGCAUGGGUAGCGAACAGG